rnacentral:rRNA from 1 species
CAGGAUGAACGCUAGCUACAGGCUUAACACAUGCAAGUCGAGGGGCAGCGGGAUUGAAGCUUGCUUCAAUUGCCGGCGACCGGCGCACGGGUGAGUAACGCGUAUCCAACCUUCCGUACACUCAGGGAUAGCCUUUCGAAAGAAAGAUUAAUACCUGAUGGUAUGAUGAGAUUGCAUGAUAGCAUCAUUAAAGAUUUAUCGGUGUACGAUGGGGAUGCGUUCCAUUAGGUAGUAGGCGGGGUAACGGCCCACCUAGCCAACGAUGGAUAGGGGUUCUGAGAGGAAGGUCCCCCACAUUGGAACUGAGACACGGUCCAAACUCCUACGGGAGGCAGCAGUGAGGAAUAUUGGUCAAUGGACGAGAGUCUGAACCAGCCAAGUAGCGUGAAGGAUGAAGGUCCUACGGAUUGUAAACUUCUUUUAUAAGGGAAUAAACCCUCCCACGUGUGGGAGCUUGUAUGUACCUUAUGAAUAAGCAUCGGCUAACUCCGUGCCAGCAGCCGCGGUAAUACGGAGGAUGCGAGCGUUAUCCGGAUUUAUUGGGUUUAAAGGGAGCGCAGACGGGUCGUUAAGUCAGCUGUGAAAGUUUGGGGCUCAACCUUAAAAUUGCAGUUGAUACUGGCGUCCUUGAGUGCGGUUGAGGUGUGCGGAAUUCGUGGUGUAGCGGUGAAAUGCUUAGAUAUCACGAAGAACUCCGAUUGCGAAGGCAGCACACUAAUCCGUAACUGACGUUCAUGCUCGAAAGUGUGGGUAUCAAACAGGAUUAGAUACCCUGGUAGUCCACACGGUAAACGAUGGAUACUCGCUGUUGGCGAUAUACUGUCAGCGGCUUAGCGAAAGCGUUAAGUAUCCCACCUGGGGAGUACGCAGGCAACGGUGCAACUCAAAGGAA